UGUGUACUCCCUCCGUUCCAAAAUACUUGACUUCCAUUUGUCCAAAAAUGGAUGUACAUAUAUACUAAAACAUGUCUAGAUACAUAUAUAUUUUGACAAAUAGAAGGCAUGUAUUGUGCAACGGAGGGAGUAGAAU
rfam:Triticum aestivum genome assembly, contig: Triticum_aestivum_CS42_TGACv1_scaffold_039654_1BL